CGCGCCUUGCCCCACCCCGCUGGCCCCGCGCGCCACCCCACCCCGUCGGCCCGUGCGCCGCCAAACCCCGCUGCCUACGGCCCAGCCCUUCGAUCCCCUACCCCUGGGAAACGCCGGCUUCUCCCACUGCAUCUUGCUCCCCCACGAGCUGCAGGUCCCGGUGGCUCGUUCCGCCGCACUGCGUCCAGGCAUUCCAACCCUGCCGCCCUAGGCCGUUCGCCGCUGUUGUGCUCACGCUGGUUGUGCCGCGCCUCCAGCUCCCAUGUGUGGCCCCUGCUGAGUGCACGUCAUGUAUUUGCUAAAAUGUCUCAGUGCACUGGACUACUAGUUUUCUUGUGUUCAUGUGCAUUUGUAGCUCCCUUCUUGCUUGCUAAUUGCUAUAGCUUACAAUACUUAGAGCAUUUUUCGUGUGUGAUCUGUAAUUUAGGUGCUAACCAAAGAAUAGGCAAGGUUAUUCAGAUAGAGGAUCUUAACUAAUCAUGUUAAUGGUUGGUCUUGCUCCCUGUGCAUUUUCACUCACUGAGGGCGACUACUCCAGAAAAAAAAGCCAUGGGAACGUGCUGCCCUCAGUCCUCUCUCGACAAAUCCAGCAGUGCAGGUUCUCCUAUGCACUAAGUAUUGCCAGCGGCGAUUCAUCCAUCAUAGCUCAUUGAGGCAAUGCUGCUUUUCUGUAUGCAUACUUUAUCUGUUUUGUUUUCUGGCAGGAAGGCACACCAUUGUUCUCGUGCAACCAUCUCCAAACAAAACGUCCAAAACUUUUAUGGACUUCAGUUCACUCAACCAAGCCCUGGAUGGUUAGUGUUCUCUCUUGCAUGCUGCUUGAAAUAUUAAUGCAAUUUUACUUUGCUAUCUGAUUGUGCAUGUGUUGUCGAAAAUGAGGUUAUCAUGGGAUUCUGAACAUAUGAUAGUAUUGUUUUGCAUAUGUAUUAUAGUUCAUUAGUUCAUCUAUUCCUUGCUUCAGUUCUAUGCACAUAGUCAUCAGCCAUCAUCACCGUACCACUUGGACUGAACAUUCAGGAAUUCAAUUUAUAAUGUUGUUUACUGUCCUAAUUUUUCGGUACCAGUAACCUUCCUAUAUACAUAUGCAGCUUUUCCGGUUCACCUUGUAUAUGGUUUUUCAGUUCACCUUGUAUAUGCCUUUUCAGUUCAUCGUACAUGUUUCAAAAGGAGCUCCCUUAGUUUCAGUAGAUGUGGAGAUGGGUAAAAUCUAAAGUUCAACUUUUCUGAUGGGGUACUUCAUAAAGCAAAGAAAAAAGAAAAGCAGAGCAAAAGUGAAAAAAAAGAAAAAGAAAACCAAAGUUGUUUUGAGAAGAAAAUGCCUAUUGUCCAGUAAUACAUUCUCUCGUUAGUCUAUGGUUAUUUGUUCAUGAGAACGAAAAAACAGUGUACAAUACAUAUUACGUGCGCUGUUCACAUAUUAUGGUUAUUUGUUCGUUAGCCGCGUGCAGGAAGUUCAACGGCACAAUCCCCGGCCGUUCAGUCUCGCUGCUGUGGGCGUGCCCCGCUCCAACUCCAUCGCCUCUGCUUCACUGGUGAAAGGUGCGACCUGAGGAACCACGGGGGUUGAGGACGUCCAGCUCCGCAGUGCAACUCGGCAUGAUUCACGUCAUCGAUAGCCCCCAUGUAGCAGCCCAUGCAUGUCCCGCAAUGAGCCAGGACAGGGAAGUUGUUGGACACUCCCGUCUUCGUCGGCCAUCACGCUAUGAGUGGCUAUGGCCAUUGGUCACCGUUGGUCGUCGGCCGUUCUUCUUCGCCACCUCCUGAAGGUCAGCUUCUGGUACACGGGAAUGAAACACCAGACGAAGCAAAAUUGAGUGAUCACGGGGAUGGAACACCCACAGCCCAUGAGGGAGGUUUGGAUGGACGCGGAUCACUAGCCCACUAUGACGACGCUGACUAGCACGAAGGACACCAGCAGGUUGAGGAUGAAGUACAUGAUGCAGGCAAUGAGGAUGAUCAAAACAUGGAAUCCGUACACAAAGCAGCAGCUGCAAAUUCAAAUUUUCUAUCUAUGGCGAUUUGAUUGCUACUUCUUAAAGAAAAGUGUACAUGACAGUUAGAUGUUUGUGCAAGAAAGGAAAAAUUGUUUGAAUUAAAAACAUUGAUCAGGUCGAUAGUGCUCUCUCCUGCCUAUUUUGGUUGAUGUCCAUGAAUAGAGAAAAAAUUGUAUGGGAAUGUUUAAUUAUUACUAGCAUGUAAAUUCAAAAAAUAAAACACAGUCGGUUCGUCUAUGAAAUUUGAGAAAGUUUGUCUAUGGACCUGAGGAAAAUAUGCUCAAAGAAAUAUCACAACACAUUUAUUUGGGUAAUAAGUUAUUUUAGUUUAGCUACACAAACCAUGCAGGUUCGAUGAUGAUGGUACCAUAAGUUCGGACAAGAAAACAAAUAUGAAUUAUAGCAGAAAACUUUCACUUCUAUAAGUUCAAGUGCUCAUCCACACUCGGAAAUUCAAGUUGGUAAAAGCUCAAAACAGUAAAAGUUCAAGUUGCAAAACAAAAGAAGUCCAGAACACCGUUGUAAAGAAACGACUCUAAAAAAAGAAACACACAAAACAAUUUCGUUUUAUUAAAAAAAACAUUUAAUUCAAACCGGUAUAAAGUAUGCAUUUUCGGGCAUGAUGAUACCAUUGAGAAGUUACGAGAAAAAUUAUACCGAAAAUACAGAGUAAAGUCUAGUGUGUGAAAACACACUCAGUACAAAACCAUACAAACAUCCGUUCAAGUACUCUUUUUUCGAAACCAUUCAAAACUACUGUGAAAAAUAUCUCAGUACAAACACCCAAAUAAAUUUUUCGACCGGAAAAACAAUACAAUGGGUCUUACCGUAUUCAAAAUUAAUUUUUAACGAUAGCGAAUUUGAGAAAAUAUUCGACAUGACUAAGUUUUCCAUUUUUGAUAUCUUUCCAACGGUAUAUUAUUUGCCCCAUUUCGGCAAACUUUAAAAAAAAAUUGCGUUUGAAAUCAAAUUUCACCGUAUUCGAAUUCGAGUUUAAACC